UACUACAGAAUGAGAAUUGUGUAGUUUACAGUUCAAGUAUGCAUAAUUUUAUGCAACAAAUUUUGCAGAACAUACAUUAAUGUUCUUAAAUUGGUGUUUCUAAAUUAGCUUUCAAUAUUUCUUCAUUUAGAACUAGUACAAAUUUCAGCAAGCUGGGUUUAUCUGUUGCAGAUUUUCCUUCUUGUUGUGUGAGUUCUGUUGACCCUCUUCCCAGUUUUUGCUUCAUGCUGUUCUGCACCAAAUGCCUGGGCUUCCUUGUAGCUGAGCCUCAAGUGGUCACUUGUCAUUCUGUUGCUGCACCUCUAACUGCUCUGUAUUUCAAUUUCUAGUAAUAAAUUCCCUUUGAUCUCUAAGAAUACCUAAUGCUUCCAAAGUAGGGUCAGUCAAAUACCUGAUUUUGGUUUCAUAUCAUCCGAAAGCCUUUUCUAGAUGUGGUUACAUGCUUUCUUGAAUCUUACUCAUCACAAUUCUUACAGAUAUAUAACAUAACACAUUUUACUAUCAUUUGCUGUCUCUUAUUUCUCAUCUGAAAAGUUGACUUCCCAGAGUUUUCCCUCUUGCCCCUUCCCCCCAUUGCUGUGCUGUGUAGCCAAUGCACCUGUUUUAUUUUCUUUGUAGCACUCCUCUCCAUGAGAAGUUGUGCCAUUUAUGCAUUCUCAAGUGUUGCCCUGCCCUGGGAGUGAGCUCCAUGAAGCGAAGCAGAUACGCCCUUCCAGAUCCACCUGGAGUGGACAGACACCACAAGUUUGGCUGCUUGAAGCUGUGUCCUCCUGAGAGGGACUUUGACGCUUAAAAUGAACUGUCAAUGGCAUGGUCUGUAGGAUCAUUUCCAAGGGAAAGACUCCAUGAUUCGGUGAGCACUCUGUUGAUUUAUUUGUCUGUUGGUCUAUCUAGAAUUUUCAGAAUCACCUAUCAUAAAAGAACGAUGAUUUGCCAUCAGAAGCAGCUAAGCCUCAGGAGUAUUUUGAGCAAUAAAUGAAAUGAAUGUAAGAACACUUUGAAAACUGAAAAGCACAUACAAAUGCAUAGUUUUAUUAUGUUUCAAAACUAUUCUGAGAACCACAUAUAUACAUAUGUUUAUCUGUAGAGAACUGGUUAAUUAUUAUAUAUUAUUAUAUAUCAAACAUUUUUGGAAAGAUUCCAAAUGUAAAGCUUCCAUUGACCUCAGGAUGUGUUACCCUAUUGGCAUCAUUAUGUGACACAUGGAGUAUUGCCAACCAGAGAAACUUGCCUGAAGUUCAGCGUCCACAGUUUUUAUUGGGAUUUAGACAAAUGGGCAUGAUUGAUUGAUUGAUUGAUUGCCCAACGGUUGAAUUCAAUCUCUAAUCCUGACCACUUUCCCAGAGGCUGGGCUGAUACCAAGUGGUCCAAUGCAUCCGCCAUUCAUCACCAUUUUAGCAUAAACUGUCAGUGUUGUUUGAGGGGUCCACCAUGAAUGACAAGAGACUCCUAUUGCUCUAGAAACUCCAGCAACGUAGAGGUUAUCUCCCAGGGGCUGGGGGCAAAGAUCAGACCUCUCUUUAGGCAGGAUAAAUGCUUUACUAUGUAACCAUUGCAACCGAAAUUUGAAUUGUGUUGAACUGGUAUUAUUUAACUAGGUCAUGGUAACUGAAAUUCAUGCAUAUUGGAAUCAUGCAAAGCAAAAGCUGCAUAUAUAUAUGUAAUACAUAUAUAUAUAUGUAUAUAUGUAUUAUAUAUACAUAAUAUAUAUUGGAAUACUGGAAUAUUGGAAUCAUGCAAAGCAAAAGCUGCAUAUAUAUAUGUAAUACAUAUAUAUAUAUGUAUAUAUGUAUUAUAUAUACAUAAUAUAUAUUGGAAUACUGGA
rnacentral:lncRNA from 1 species